CUUCCUCAACCAAUCCACUCAGGAUGUGGACUUCAGACUCUCCCCCCGACUCCACACUCUCCAGAGAGGAUGCAGUCCUUCAGCCCCUUCUCCAAAACCCUGCUGAGAAAUGGUUGGCCUCAGAAUAGGAAUUCAGAAAUCUCUCUGCCUGCCUCUUUGCCACUAUGAAAACAGACACUGGUUCCCCAAGCCCCUGAUUAAGAAAGAAGCUGGAAGAACAGGCAGAAGUGUUUUCAUACUGUCCAACCCUGUCCUAUAUGGGAAAGAAAACCUGUGAGAUAGAGUCCUAGCAUAUACAGGAGAAGAAAAUGAAGAGAUUUCCUCCAAGUGGAUUCAUAAUAAAUGUGUUUGGGGAAAUGGAGAUUUCAUCUUGGGGGAGGAGAUUCACCACAAAUGUCCUAGUGGAGAAAGUAUCCAGUUUUCACCAUCAGGUCUUUAUUCCUAAAUAGUUUCUCUCUUGAUUUUAAAUUAAGAAAAUAUAUGGAACUAGUUAUUCCAA